rnacentral:misc_RNA from 1 species
GAUGAAGAACGUAGUGAAAUGCGAUACGUAAUGUGAAUUGCAGAAUUCAGUGAAUCAUCGAGUCUUUGAACGCACAUUGCGCCCCCUGGUAUUCCGGGGGGCAUGCCUGUCCGAGCGUCAUUGCUGCCCUCAAGCACGGCUUGUGUGUUGGGCCCCCGCCCCCCGGUUCCCGGGGGGCGGGCCCGAAAGGCAGCGGCGGCACCGCGUCCGGUCCUCGAGCGUAUGGGGCUUCGUCACCCGCUCCGUAGGCCCGGCCGGCGCCCGCCGGCGACCCCACCUCAAUCUUUCCAGGUUGACCUCGGAUCAGGUAGGGAUACCCGCUGAACUUAAGCAUAUCAAUAAGCGGAGGA